ACGUACACUCCUGCGGGAGGCAGCAGUGAGGAAUAUUGGACAAUGGGUGGAAGCCUGAUCCAGCCAUCCCGCGUGCAGGAAGACGGCCCUAUGGGUUGUAAACUGCUUUUAUCUGGGGAUAAACCUACUUACGUGUAAGUAGCUGAAGGUACCAGAAGAAUAAGCACCGGCUAACUCCGUGCCAGCAGCCGCGGUAAUACGGAGGGUGCAAGCGUUAUCCGGAUUUAUUGGGUUUAAAGGGUCCGUAGGCGGACUGAUAAGUCAGUGGUGAAAUCCGACAGCUUAACUGUCGAACUGCCAUUGAUACUGUUAGUCUUGAGUAAGGUUGAAGUGGCUGGAAUAAGUAGUGUAGCGGUGAAAUGCAUAGAUAUUACUUAGAACACCAAUUGCGAAGGCAGGUCACUAAGUCUUAACUGACGCUGAUGGACGAAAGCGUGGGGAGUGAACAGGAUUAGAUACCCUUGUAGUCCCA
rnacentral:rRNA from 1 species